CUCAACAAAUUGUACUGUGCCUACAAUUGGAAAUGAUGGCCAGCUAUAUGGAACAGAGCAGUAUCAGUACCCUAAUCCUUUUUACCAGGCUCCAACUUCAACUGGCUCACUUUAUUCCCCAGACUCGGCCAGUGCUUCUCAGUUAGAGUUUCCAACUUCUGCUGCAGCUGAUAAAGUGGCUUUGACUGUUGGGACAACUUCAGGACACCCCAAUAAUACAGUAAACACUGGAAGUGUAAAUAGAAGUAGUGGACCAAGACCUUUCAGACCAAGUAAUCAAAAUUCAUCUUCAAUUUCAAGUGUUCCAUAUAACAGGGGAGGUUUACCAACUGGAUUUCCUUCUUUUGGUUAUCAUGGCCCAAGAUUUGGAUAUGAUGGAUUUCAGUCACCAAUGCCUUGGUUAGAUACCUCUAUGUUACCUAAUGGGCCACCUGGACAUGCAAUCAGCACUGGGUUCUCUUCACCUCUGAAUUCACACCGUACAAGACCAAUGUCUGGUUUGGGCCAAGCUUCCGAAGGCAUGAACUUGAUGUACCCUAACAACAGAAUGUAUGGCCAAUAUGGAUACAGAGCUGGUUCAAGUUUUGGAUCCUUUGGUGGUAAUUCAUGGACAAAUGGACAUGGGUGGGUGGUUGUUGAUAAUAAGUGCAAACCUAAGGGCCGUGGCUAUGGCAAUGAGAAUAUAGAUGGCUUAAGUGAGUUGAAUAGAGGA
rnacentral:misc_RNA from 1 species